UCUCAGUGGUUAGAGAGUUGGCCUGCAGACCUAAGGGUCUUAGGUUCAAUUCCUAG
rfam:Myotis brandtii contig220109, whole genome shotgun sequence.